AGUGAACGCUGGCGGUAGGCCUAACACAUGCAAGUCGAACGGCAGCACAGUAAGAGCUUGCUCUUACGGGUGGCGAGUGGCGGACGGGUGAGGAAUACAUCGGACUCUACUUUUUCGUGGGGGAUAACGUAGGGAAACUUACGCUAAUACCGCAUACGACCUACGGGUGAAAGCAGGGGAUCUUCGGACCUUGCGCGAUUGAAUGAGCCGAUGUUGGUUUAGCUAGUUGGCGGGGUAAGGGCCAACCCAGGCGACGAUCCGUAGCUGGUCUGAGAGGAUGAUCAGCCACACGGGAACAGAGACACGGUCCAGACUCCGACGGUAGGCAGCAGUGGGGAAUAUUAGACAAUGGGCGCGAGCCUGAUCCAGCCAUACCGCGGGGGUGAAGAAGGACUUCGGGUUGGAAAGCCCUGUUGUUGGGAAAGAAAAGCAGCAGUUUAAUACCCCGCGGUACUGACGGUACCCAAAGAAUAAGCACCGGCUAACUUCGUG
rnacentral:rRNA from 1 species